AUUGAACGCUGGCGGCAUGCCUUACACAUGCAAGUCGAACGGCAGCACGGGGCAACCUGGUGGCGAGUGGCGAACGGGUGAGUAAUGCAUCGGAACGUACCUUUCAGUGGGGGAUAACGUAGCGAAAGUUACGCUAAUACCGCAUAUUCUGUGAGCAGGAAGGCAGGGGAUCGCAAGACCUUGCGCUGAUUGAGCGGCCGAUGUCAGAUUAACUAGUUGGUGAGGUAAGGGCUCACCAAGGCGACGAUCUGUAGCGGGUCUGAGAGGAUGAUCCGCCACACUGGAACUGAGAAACGGUCCAGACCCCUACGGGAGGCAGCAGUGGGGAAUUUUGGACAAUGGGGGCAACCCUGAUCCAGCCAUGCCGCGUGAGUGAAGAAGGCCUUCGGGUUGUAAAGCUCUUUCGGCCGGGAAGAAAUCGCACGGGCUAAUACCCUGUGUGGAUGACGGUACCGGAAUAAGAAGCACCGGCUAACUACGUGCCAGCAGCCGCCGUAACAC
rnacentral:rRNA from 1 species